rnacentral:snoRNA from 1 species
AUCCUUUUGUGGUUUGUAAGCAUGAUGAAUGGGUGUUCACGCACUUGUAUGAGGUGUGCCUCCCUCCAACCUUGUUACAAUGUUGGCACAUUACCCAUCUGACG